GAUGAUGUGAGCGAUGCUGGCCGUGGUGAUGAUCGAGCCCGAGUUGCGAGGGACCAUGACUCUGGCCGCGUGCUUCACUCCGUGAGCGACGCCUCUCACGUUGACAGCGAGCACGGCGUCGAGGUCGGACAUGUCGAGACGGGCGAUGGAGUCGGCCGGCUUGGGGCCCGAGAUGAUCCCGGCGUUGUUGAACAUGAUGCCGAGCGAGCCAAACUUUGAGACGGCCAGGUCCACUGCUGCUGCCACCUGAGACUCCUGAGAGACGUCGCAGUGUGUGUAGUGAGCGCCCGUCUCGGCGGCCAGCGCCUCGCCGCGGCUGUCUUGGACGUCGGCAAUGAUAACUUCCGCUCCAUGAGCUCUGAAUUUCUUGACCGUGGCUGCGCCGAUACCCGAAGCACCACCGGUGACGAGUGCCACUUUCCCUUGGAUCCUGGAAAUGCUAUUACGUUAGAAAGCAUAAGAGGAGAAGAAACUAGUAAAUGUAACCUGGAAAGCAUUGUGGGAUCUUGCAACACGAGUAGCAAGGCAGCACUGCUCAAGUAUUCAAGCCUGUUGCAACGAGACAAAGUCAAAGUCAGACCGCUCGAGGCCUGGACCUCUCGUGCGUCGGUAUCCUCAGAGCUCUUAGUUGAUUCACUUAUCUGCCCGAGGUCCGUUGAUUCACUCUUUGGGCCGUCGGCGGCAAUCUUUCGGAAGGACCCAGCGUCAGUGCCACCCCCGUUUCGUUCUCGAUCUGUCUCUUAAGCUGCUGGAGGAUUCUGAUCUGAUUAAGCUUCUCGGGGGAUAGUCUGUCCCAGUAGAUUCCUACACACAACAGACAAACUGCAUCGAUCUUUCAACAUGCGCCAAACUUUCUCACCUGUAGGCUUUGGAAUGGUUGUGUCUGUAAAUAUAACUUGCGUAGGGGUGCAAAUUACGUCCACUGGGACGUCGUGUAUAAGCAGCUUGUCCGCUUGAAUCAUACUCAUUCCUUCACCACCAAGUGCUAAAUGUGUGAAAUGCUCCUGCACGAACAUUGGGAGGUGAGUUUCACCACGUAAACUCUGAUUCGCUGCUCAAGUGAAAUCCCACAAAGCAAAAAAGAAGUCCAGCUCCAUGCAGCUCAAGAAUCUUAAAUUUCGUCCUUGGCGUACGAAAGUGACCCACACCGAUCUAGAUCAAAUCAGACUCUAUCUAGUAGAGACCGCACUUGGGCAGCAAAAACGAAAAAAAACAUAAAAACAAAAGAAUCGAAAGAGCGAGAGAACUUUCCUCGCUAAGCUAGCUUCGCGAUAGAGAAGAAAGGAAGUGGAGUCUCUCAGCUCCGACAAAAAACCAGAAAAGAAAACAAAAAAGCUUUGCUCGAAGAGGACGUCACUGGACACACACAUGCGCUGCCACGAGAGAGCAUACAAAAACGAAAGCUCCUUUCGGCGAGAGGGGGGCGAAAAAAAGAAGAAGAAUGCGCGAUGCGCGAUGAUGCUCUCCCAAUCAAGCUAAGAAUCAAAUCCUACGUACCUCGAGACCGGUAGCGCGAUCAAAUCAUCGACCCAAGCUCGAGAAUCACCCUCGCAUUCGCGGGGCGCGCCCUCGCAACGGCAAAAAUCCACACUUGCCCUAAAACACAAGGCAUAUUCGCUGGACCCAGGGCAUAUUCUGUUUAAGCAGGCAUAUUCUCGAACAUUCAUUAGAAUAUUCUAUUCUUGGAAUAGUCGAAUUGUUUUAGAGCUCACUCUAGUUCUUCGUUACCAGACGCAGCUGCCCAUGCUGGAUAUCCUUGAAGAUGUUAAACGCGGCAGUCCCUGUGAGCGAGCCGUCCACCACCAAGUCAUGGCCGCUCACAAACCUCGACUCAUCGCUGGCGAGGAAGAGCGCGGCCUCUGCGAUCUCCUCCGGCUCCAUCAAGGCCCGCCGGAGAUCAAACCCGGGCUUCCCUGCAAACGCCGCUUGCGUGCCAAGCUUGGCCUCCGCAACCGGCACCAAGUUCUCCCAAAACUUCGUCACGAUUUCGGUCACCACCCCGGCCGGAGAGAUGCAGUUCACUCGGACCCCGUGAAAGGCCAGCUCCGAGGCCGCCGACUUUGUGAUGCCAACCACGGCGUGCUUGCUGAUGGUGUAGGGGUGGAGCGCGCUGCCGGAGAUGAUGUGAGCGACGCUGGCCGUGGAGAUGAUCGAGCCCGAGUUGCGAGGGACCAUGACUCUGGCCGCGUGCUUCACUCCGUGAGCGACGCCUCUCACGUUGACAGCGAGCACGGCGUCGAGGUCGGACAUGUCGAGACGGGCGAUGGAGUCGGCCGGCUUGGGGCCCGAGAUGAUCCCGGCGUUGUUGAACAUGAUGCCGAGCGAGCCAAACUUUGAGACGGCCAGGUCCACUGCUG
rnacentral:lncRNA from 1 species